AAGUCCGCAGUGCUCCAUUCUUCAGGCAGAAAAAACUGUGCUGUUAUUGUCUAAGUGAGAGCCGGGUUGAUCAAUGCCUUUGACCUAUCUUAUGUAAAGAGAGAUAGUCCAAGCUGCAAAAAGAGGCUACCAUCAUUAGCUCCGGAGAGCUGUCAGGAUGAAGAAGCGGUCAACCAACCUUCGAGUGAAGUUACCAGUCUUCCUGUUUGUAUUCCAGGUGAUUUUUGUUGCCAUUUACUUUGCCUUUGUGACCUAUGAUGACCAGGCUGAUGCCCGUUUUCAGACCAAUCAGACCAAUCCCAUGCACAACGCCGUGUACAAGGACUACCCCUUCUUCACAGAUAUACAGGUCAUGAUAUUCCUUGGCUUUGGAUGCUUGCUGGCAUUUUUCCGACUCUAUGGCUUUGGUGGGAUGGUUUUUAACUUUCUGACUGCUACCUUUGCAAUCCAGUGGGCCAUUCUGGUGCAGGGCUAUUUCCAGUUCUACGACAAUGGGAAGAUCCACCUUGGGGUUAUCAAUCUCAUAAAUGCAGAAUUUGCCUGUGCGGUGGUCCUCAUUUCUUUCGGAGCGGUGCUGGGGAAGACCAGUCCACUGCAGCUGCUGGUCAUGGUCCUGCUGGAGGUGCCAGUGUUUGCUGUCACAGAGUGGGUCGUUCUCACGUAUCUGAGGAUCAAUGAUGCAGGAGGGUCUAUUCUCAUUCAUCUCUUUGCCUGCUAUUUUGGACUGGGUGUCACAUUUGUGCUGUACAGGUCUGGUUUAAAUGAGGGCCAUGUUAAGGAGAACAGCAGUUACCACUCUGACAUCCUGUCUGUGAUGGGCACCCUGUUCCUCUGGGUGUUCUGGCCUUCAUUCAACUCAGCACUGACCCUUAAAGGAGAUGACCAGCACCGGGCCAUUCUUCACACCUUCAUCGGCCUCAGUGCCUCCACCCUCACUGCAUUUGCUCUGUCUGCAAUGCUGAACAAAAAGGGAAAGCUCACCAUGGCGGAUAUUCAGAACGUGACCCUGGCAGGAGGAGUAACAGUUGGGGCAUCUGUUGACAUGAUGAUAUCACCUGCUGCUGCGUAUGUGCUGGGUAUGAUGGGUUGCACUGCCUGCAUGCUGGGCUAUAAGUAUCUGAGCCCAUUCUUAGCACAACGCUGCCGGAUCCAGGAUCAGUGCGGGAUACACAACCUGCAUGGACUAACAGGACUUAUUUCAUGCGCAGCAGGGAUAUGUGCCAUUCUGAUGGCUGAUGAGGACAUUUACGGCCCCAGUUUGUAUGAGAUCUUUACUCACAGAGCUCCAGUAGAAGGGGACCCAAAGCUGCAAGAGCUCCAAAUGCUGAUUCCAGGUUUAAAACUGGGUUUGGGAAGGACUGCCAGGGCGCAAGCUCUCUUCCAGGUUGCAGCUGUAUUCUCCACAAUAGGACUGUCAGCACUGGGAGGCAUCCUGACAGGUUAUGUGUUAAAGCUACCUUACCUUGCAUCUCCUUCGGACGACCUCUGUUUUGAUGAUGUGCUGUUUUUUGAAGUUCCCCCAGAUUACGAUGCACCGCUUAAACUCAACUACAAAAUGACAGCAGAGGAUUCUUCAGAUGUGCAGCACCAAAGAGUUGUCAUCCAGUUAAUGGACAACAUGGAAAACAAAUGUGCCUAACUUGUCCUUUUGAACUGAUGAAGCAGUGUUGGUUUUUAUUUUACUAACUACUAAAUACAUGUUUAUAUCCAUUGCACUGUAAAAAAAAUUUUUUUACAUACAUUUUAGUAAUUGUGUUCAUAAUUCAGGCUCUGCAAAAACAGAGGGUUCAGCCAGAGCUUGCAGACAAAGAAUUAUUAUUAUCAGCAAUAUUAUUAAUAUUUCGAAGGGAAAUAUUUAAUCAUUUUUCAACACUUUUCCCUUUCAGUUGAGUUAAUGCGUGUACAUCCCAAUAGUCAGUGAUUACAUUGCACAAGAAACACUAUGCUCAGGUGUUAAUUUAUACCACAAUGGGUGAACAAGACGAAAAAGGUAAUAGCAAUAGUAAUUAAUUAAUUAUUUGACCAGUGAAGAGAAGGAUGCCAGGACGAAAGUUAUCUGAGAGCAGCAGCUUGAAGACCUAACAAACCAGCACCCUAUCCAGGAAUUUAAAAGGUCCCCAGUCUGCUUGUAAAUCCUGUCUACUUGUGACUACCUCUGACAAAACAUAAACAAAUAAAAUCAGUUAACAUUCAGCUAGACGUUAUUUCUGUUCUGUUACUCUGCUCUGCAUAGAUAUAUGGCAGCACUCCUAUAUCUCCCAACAACUGUGUCACCAGAAUGAUUGAUUUUAGAGUCACACUGUGGUUGUGUAAAACAAAGCAACAGUAAAGGGAAGCAGCUGAAAGUCUAAUUUGUUUGCACAUAAUCAGUCUGUGUUUUACACAUGAGGGUUUAACUACACUACAGUAACAUUGUUAUCAGACUUUAUUUUAGUGUGCCACACCACUCAAACUCUGUGAGUCUGCCCACAGUUUGCUGUCUCUGAACAAUAGAGUAAACACUAAAAUGUAUUUUCAAGCUAAUGCUAAAGAUUUGGUGGUUCAUUUCGUUCAGACACUGAGGAAAAAACAAGCUACUGUUGGUGCUAAUUGUGUUUAAACAUGCAAGUGUUUAUUUAUCUAAUUUAAUAAGGCACUUUGUAUCGACACAGGGCACAUAGAAAGUAAAAACUAUGACAAAAUGCCUUACCUGAAAACUGUUAUGCUCACAAAUCUCCCUCUGCCUGGUCUGGCUGCUGACUCAGCUAAAGCUAUAGCAUAAACAGGGUCCUCAGCUCCAGACCUUAGCUUGCUCCUUCCCUUGAAGCCACGAUUCUUGCUUUAGGACAAAAGUCUAUGUAGAAACAAUUGCUUCAUUCUCUUGGGCCCAACAGCAUUUUGAACAGAGAGCUUAUUUUGGUUAGUGGAAAGUAGCCACACACCAAUAAACCCACUGCUGUGAGAAACGUGUUUAUUGUUAAGAAAACAAUUCUGUUCUGUGUUUACAACAAGACGCAGUUGCAUUUUGCUGUUACAAAUGCGACAUACAUGGUAGAGCUUUUCUGUUUUAGAAAUGCAUGGAUCAGAAAAAUUGUCAUUUAAAAUUACCUAUCUGCUUUGAAAAACAAUGAAAAGGCCAGUUGUGAUUUAUUUAUGGUUAUAUUUUUAAGACUUCCAGGUUUUCUGUCUAUAAACUAUGACUUGCUUUUUUAAACAUCAACGUAGUCAGUUUCUUUCCAGGACACGUUCAAACAGGACAAAAGUGAUUUGCAGCAAUUGGUACAACUAGUUGUUUUCUUUUUAAAAGAGGAGGCUGUUGUCUUGGUAAUUUUUUAGAAUACUUCAUAGUUAGCAACAAACUUCAAUGUGUUGUCUUUAAGAGAUACAUAAAAAUUAAAAUAUGUUUUAAUUCAUAAAAAGAAAAAUAUAUGAGAAUACAUGUGGUGGGCUACGGGCUCAUUCAGUAAAUCCAAGGCACUAUACAUUCUGUAGUAUAAAAUUUAAAAACAACACUUUUAAAACCCUAAAUCUUAAAGACAUAUGUUUUAUUAUGAGAUUGCAGUUAAAAUACAAAGCUGUGGAAGUGUCAUUCCAGUUUGAUUUAGAGGUCAUGUAGAUAAUAUGAUUUCAGACCUUUGGAUCUGUCUCUUCUUUGAAUUAGAUAACUGAGUGCAACCGUCAAAAGUAAUAUCAGACAAUUAAUUAUAAUUAAGUACAAAAACGAAUAUAGGGAACCUAAACAUUUUAAAUUAUGUGUUUAAAAGAGAUUUUAUGUGUUACAAGACCACAGUUUUACAUGUUAGAUAGACACCUAAUUACCUUCAUAUCUGUCUCUGCUGAAUAUUUAACUCGCAAAGUCUGCUCAAUGUUUUACUCCUUCUAUUUCUGAUAUUGUAUAAUGUUUAACUCCCUCUUUCAUUGGACAUUUUACUAUCUGUCUGAAUACAUUUCUGUUUCAUUUUAGGCGUCGAUGAAAAUGAGUGAUAAAAAAUAAAACAUAGUUGCAACAUAAUGAGCAAGAGUUUAAACAGAGUUCAAUAUCAAAAGCUCAGCCUGCAUGAAGAUGUAUUACAGUGAAACUGAACAUUUUCAAUUUCCAUUAUUCCAGACUAAAUGUCUGAAAUCUUGACGUAAGAUACUCAAAAUUCUACUACAUUAUAAAAUAGUGAGAAUCUUGAAGUUAUACUGUCCUUCUUCCAUAAAUAAAAGUUCAAAUAAAAAAACAAAUAUAAAAUUAAUUAGAUUUAAAUAUUACUAAAAGUAGAAGUUAAAAAUAAUGGGCAUCUAAGGAAACCAGUACACAUGUUGUCAUCCCACACCAUGUGGUAAAGAGUCCAGGACCAGUGCAGAGGUUUUUUAAUGCUUAGUUUUAUUUCCUUCAAAUAAGAAUUGGAAAUAUGUAGCUUGAAUUUAAACUUGCCUUCCCUGAGUCAACACGUUUUAGAACCAUCUUUUGCUGCGAUAACAGCUGCAGGUCUUUUGUACCAUGUUUCCACUAGCUUUGCACAAAAAGAGAUUAAAAUGUUUACCAAUUCUUGUUGGCAAAAUAGCUCAUGCUCGGUCAGAUUGGAAAGAGAGCAUCAGUGAACAUAAAUUUUUAAGUAUCGCCAUAGAUUCCCAAUUGGAUCUGGAAAGUAACUGGUCUAUUCUCACACAAGAAGAUGCUUUAAAUUAACCCCCUAUUUUGCUUGUAGUUCUGGCUUUAAUUUUAUAGUUGAUAUACUGCUGUGAAGUGAACCCGAGCCCCAGUUGCAAGUCUUUUGCAGCCUAGAACAGGAUUUCUUCCAGUAUUGCCCUGUAUUUAGCUCCAUCUAUCCUCCUAACAACUCUGAACAUCUUUACUACACCCUGCGGAAGAAAAGCAUCUCCCUGGCAUGAUGCUGCCACCACCAUGUUUCGCCAAGUUUCAUUUUCAUUUCUUCUACCUGUUUGCUGUGGCCCUUCCACUUCACAGUAAUGCAUUACUUUGCGCUGGUCUAUCACAUAAAAUCCAUAACACCAUACUGAGGUUUGUGUAUUAAAAUGACACAAUAUGAAAUGUGGGUUAUAAAUACUCAAGGCACUGUAUAACUUACAAUAAAAAACAAAGGCAUGCCUGCCAAUUAAAUAAGAAAAAUUAGUUUAAAAAAAUCAAAUUUGACUACACAAAAAAACAGUAUGUAGUUUGUUUCUUAUUUAAUAAAUCAAUUACCUAAACUGUAUUCCUGAAACUUUUUCUCUCGAAUUUGUUGGCCAAAAUACAGCGACUUUACAAUAAUAUUUGAACAAUUCUCCAGUGUGAAUACCACUAGAGAAUUGUGCAAAUAUUACUGUGAAGUACUGAAAUACUACUUAGGACCAUCAGGUGGCAGUAACAUUUUUUAUUUUUCCACUGGAGAACCAAUCGAAGAAGAAGAAGACGGCGAAGGAGACGGAAGAAGACCGUAAAGCCACGACCUACCUCGAGUAGAUUCUAAUAGCUGGAGCGGAAAAAGAAAAGGUUACAUAACUUCAAAUGGUCUAAAUUCACCGUAGCGGUCUGUGUUUAAGAAGGCGAGAAGCGUCGACGCCAGUACCGUCAGCAGCAUAUUAACCGUGAUAUUCAGACUUUGGCACAGCAUAUCCUCCAUUUCAGACGGACCGAAAUGGCGGAUGAUUUUGACGUUGAGGCCAUGCUGGAAGCUCCAUUCAGAAAAACUUCCCUAAUGAUAUCUCACCUCUACUCCCAUGAAUUCAUCUUUGAUUCCACUGUGAACUGUGAAAAAAAAGGAAGGGCAAGAUGUGUGACAGAGGUGGCAUCGAGCUCUUACAGUCCAAGAACGAAAAUGGGUGAAGAUCACUGGACUGACACCAACCACACAGGAUCUCUUUUAGUGGCCAUGGGCCAUGCGUGGUCACGUGUUUAGGCACAAAUAGUGGCAUUGGUACGACCUGUUAGAGGGGGGUGGGGGAUUGGUGGAGAGGACCUGAUAGUUAUCAAAACUUCCUGAACUCUGCUAAUAUGUUGGACAUCCCUUAACUUUUUAUUGUAGCAUUAAGUACUGACCAGCCUAAUAAUGAUGGGGAAAGGAAGGUAUUGGGGUGGUGGAAGAACUGUCCAGAGUUGACAUUAGAAAGUAUGAAUUAUUAUUAAUUGAAUAUAUUUUGCAUUUUCUCUUGUCUCACCCCCCAACCCCCUUUACCUUGACGACUUGAAAUGUUUCAUCUACGUCCUCAUGAUGUUCUUCUAUAAACCUUGCUUAGGAUGAGAACAAGUCCUAUCAUGCAAAUGGACACGAUGAACACAGCAAGAAG